rnacentral:rRNA from 1 species
AUUGAACGCUAACGGCAUGCUUAACACAUGCAAGUCGAACGGCAGCACAGCAGUAGCAAUACUGUGGGUGGCGAGUGGCGGACGGGUGAGCAAUGUAUAGGAAUCUGCCUUGUAGUGGGGGAUAACCUGGGGAAACUCGGGCUAAUACCGCAUAAUCUUUACGAAGCAAAGCGGGGGAUCGUAAGACCUUGCGCUAUAAGAUGGGCCUAUAUUGGAUUAGCUAGUUGGUGGGGUAAAGGCCUACCAAGGCGACGAUCCAUAGCUGGUCUGAGAGGAUGAUCAGCCACACUGGGACUGAGACACGGCCCAGACUCCUACGGGAGGCAGCAGUGGGGAAUAUUGGACAAUGGGGGAAACCCUGAUCCAGCAAUGCCGUGUGUGUGAAGAAGGCCUUCGGGUUGUAAAGCACUUUUAGUGGGAAAGAAAAGCUCAAAGCUAAUAACUUUGAGCCUUGACGUUACCCACAGAAAAAGCACUGGCUAACUCUGUGCCAGCAGCCGCGGUAA